GAUGAACGCUGGCGGCGUGCCUAAUACAUGCAAGUCGAGCGAACAGACGAGGAGCUUGCUCCUCUGACGUUAGCGGCGGACGGGUGAGUAACACGUGGAUAACCUACCUAUAAGACUGGGAUAACUUCGGGAAACCGGAGCUAAUACCGGAUAAUAUAUUGAACCGCAUGGUUCAAUAGUGAAAGACGGUUUUGCUGUCAAUUAUAGAUGGAUCCGCGCCGCAUUAGCUAGUUGGUAAGGUAACGGCUUACCAAGGCAACGAUGCGUAGCCGACCUGAGAGGGUGAUCGGCCACACUGGAACUGAGACACGGUCCAGACUCCUACGGGAGGCAGCAGUAGGGAAUCUUCCGCAAUGGGCGAAAGCCUGACGGAGCAACGCCGCGUGAUUGAUGAAGGUCUUCGGAUCUUAAAACUCUGUUAUUAGGGAAGAACAAAUGUGUAAGUAACUAUGCACGUCUUGACGGUACCUAAUCAGAAAGCCACGGCUAACUACGUG
rnacentral:rRNA from 1 species